GCCAGACUCCUACGGGAGGCAGCAGUGGGGAAUAUUGGACAAUGGGGGGAACCCUGAUCCAGCGACGCCGCGUGAGUGAAGAAGUAUUUCGGUAUGUAAAGCUCUAUCAGCAGGGAAGAAAGAAAUGACGGUACCUGACUAAGAAGCCCCGGCUAACUACGUGCCAGCAGCCGCGGUAAUACGUAGGGGGCAAGCGUUAUCCGGAUUUACUGGGUGUAAAGGGAGCGUAGACGGCAAUGCAAGUCUGGAGUGAAAGGCGGGGGCCCAACCCCCGGACUGCUCUGGAAACUGUAUAGCUGGAGUGCAGGAGAGGUAAGUGGAAUUCCUAGUGUAGCGGUGAAAUGCGUAGAUAUUAGGAGGAACAUCAGUGGCGAAGGCGACUUUCUGGACUGUAACUGACGCUGAGGCACGAAAGUGUGGGGAGCAAACAGGAUUAGAUACCCUCGUAC
rnacentral:rRNA from 1 species